UGCUCUAUAUAUUUUAAUUUUUAAUUUAAUGCUAUAUAAUAAUCAUGUAAUAGAAUCUUAAAUCUAAAAAUUCUCUAGCUUUAGAAAAUAAAUCUUGAUUUAUUUUAGUCUUCCACUGCCUGAUCUUGAAAAAAUUUUAAGAUCUAACCCUGAAACCCUAGAUCUGGUUCCUACAUUUAGCUCCUUUAAUGAGCAAAUAAAAUAUUAAAUAUACUUUACAUAAUAAGAAAGAAGCUUUUCUGAUUUUUUUCAAAGUUGUUGAAGACUUGAAUGAGCUCUUGAGGGGUUGGUGAGCUUGAAAUGAAAGCUUCUUUUGGUUAAAGAGGGCUUUUUGCUUAAGGCUGAAAUGAAUGCUUGAGAAAUCUUGAAAAUCUUAUCUUUUUCCUCUUCAAGUGCCUUUAUAUCUUCAAUAGAUGCUAGAGAUAAAUUUGAGCAAAAAUAAAACUGUUGGAGUACAUUAAAUGAGCAUUAAAUGCGGCCAAACUGAGCUGAAAAACUAACCGUUACGGAGAUUUUCCGUCGCAGGGGUUGACUCAUAGGGUCGACCUCUAUGGUGC
rnacentral:lncRNA from 1 species